GUAGGUGAACCUGCGGAGGGAUCAUUCACAUGAUUACCUUUUCAACAAACUGUGAACCUUUUAAUCUAUUCGUGUGUGUUGUUUGAUCUUCGGAUCAUUCUCGACAUCACACUGUCAUUCGAUGAACAUUAGAUAGCUGGCUUGAUUUUCGAAUCUUUCUCAGCUGAUUGUUUUUGAAUUUAAUUACUCGAUACAAUCAACCAACAAACAUAGAAACAACUCUAUGCCCUGGAUAUCUUGGUUCUCGCAU
rnacentral:misc_RNA from 1 species